rnacentral:rRNA from 1 species
AGUCGAGCGGACAGAUGGGAGCUUGCUCCCUGAUGUUAGCGGCGGACGGGUGAGUAACACGUGGGUAACCUGCCUGUAAGACUGGGAUAACUCCGGGAAACCGGGGCUAAUACCGGAUGGUUGUUUGAACCGCAUGGUUCAAACAUAAAAGGUGGCUUCGGCUACCACUUACAGAUGGACCCGCGGCGCAUUAGCUAGUUGGUGAGGUAACGGCUCACCAAGGCAACGAUGCGUAGCCGACCUGAGAGGGUGAUCGGCCACACUGGGACUGAGACACGGCCCAGACUCCUACGGGAGGCAGCAGUAGGGAAUCUUCCGCAAUGGACGAAAGUCUGACGGAGCAACGCCGCGUGAGUGAUGAAGGUUUUCGGAUCGUAAAGCUCUGUUGUUAGGGAAGAACAAGUACCGUUCGAAUAGGGCGGUACCUUGACGGUACCUAACCAGAAAGCCACGGCUAACUACGUGCCAGCAGCCGCGGUAAUACGUAGGUGGCAAGCGUUGUCCGGAAUUAUUGGGCGUAAAGGGCUCGCAGGCGGUUUCUUAAGUCUGAUGUGAAAGCCCCCGGCUCAACCGGGGAGGGUCAUUGGAAACUGGGGAACUUGAGUGCAGAAGAGGAGAGUGGAAUUCCACGUGUAGCGGUGAAAUGCGUAGAGAUGUGGAGGAACACCAGUGGCGAAGGCGACUCUCUGGU